UACAGAGGGUGCAAGCGUUGUUCGGAAUUAUUGGGCGUAAAGCGCGUGUAGGCGGCCUAUCAAGUCAGAUGUGAAAGCCCUCGGCUUAACCGAGGAAGUGCGUCUGAAACUGAUGGGCUUGAGUGCCGGAGAGGAUGGCGGAAUUCCGCAAGUAGAGGUGAAAUUCGUAGAUAUCAGGAGGAACACCAGUGGCGAAGGCGGCUUUCUGGACGGUAACUGACGCUGAGACGCGGAAAGCGUGGGGAGCAAACAGG
rnacentral:rRNA from 1 species